GACGAACCGUACGAACGUUAUUCGGAAUUACUGGGCUUAAAGGGUGCGUAGGCUGCGCAGUAAGUUGGGUGUGAAAUCCCUCGGCUUAACCGAGGAACUGACGCCCAAAACCUACUGUGCUCGAGGGAGACAGAGGUGAGCGGAACUUAGGGUGGAGGCGGAUGAAUGCGUUGAUAUCCUAAGGAACACCUGUGGCGAAAGCGGCUCACUGGGUCUCUCUGACGCUGAGGCACGAAAGCUAGGGUAGCGAACGG
rnacentral:rRNA from 1 species